rnacentral:rRNA from 1 species
UACGUAGGUGGCGAGCGUUGUCCGGAUUUAUUGGGCGUAAAGAGCGUGUAGGCGGCCAGGUAGGUCUGCUGUGAAAACUCGAGGCUCAACCUCGAGACGUCGGCGGAAACCAUCUGGCUAGAGUCCGGAAGAGGAGAGUGGAAUUCCUGGUGUAGCGGUGAAAUGCGCAGAUAUCAGGAAGAACACCCGUGGCGAAGGCGGCUCUCUGGGACGGUACUGACGCUGAGACGCGAAAAGCGUGGGGAGCGAACAGG